rnacentral:lncRNA from 1 species
UUUUAUUGUAUUUCCUCUACAGCUGUGAUUUGUGACCAUUUGCAUUUUUGCUGACAGGUACUAAGGGCAAUGAUAUGCAUGAGGUUAUCUAUGAAAGGAGAGAGCACUCCUCUUUAAUUGGAUGGUG